rnacentral:rRNA from 1 species
GAUGAACGCUGGCGGCGUGCCUAAUACAUGCAAGUCGAGCGAACAGACGAGGAGCUUGCUCCUCUGACGUUAGCGGCGGACGGGUGAGUAACACGUGGAUAACCUACCUAUAAGACUGGGAUAACUUCGGGAAACCGGAGCUUAUACCGGAUAAUAUAUUGAACCGCAUGGUUCAAUAGUGAAAGACGGUUUUGCUGUCACUUAUAGAUGGAUCCGCGCCGCAUUAGCUAGUUGGUAAGGUAACGGCUUACCAAGGCAACGAUGCGUAGCCGACCUGAGAGGGUGAUCGGCCACACUGGAACUGAGACACGGUCCAGACUCCUACGGGAGGGAGCAGUAGGGAAUCUUCCGCAAUGGGCGAAAGCCUGACGGAGCAACGCCGCGUGAGUGAUGAAGGUCUUCGGAUCGUAAAACUCUGUUAUUAGGGAAGAACAAAUGUGUAAGUAACUAUGCACGUCUUGACGGUACCUAAUCAGAAAGCCACGGCUAACUACGUG